AAGCACAUAGUUAGCGGCGAACGGCUGAGUAACGCGUAAGUAACCUGCCUCGAAGAGGGGAAAAACUAUGAGAAAUCAUAGCUAAUUCCGCGUAAUGUCAAUUAAUUAAUUUAAUUGAAGAAAGAUUUAUCGCUUUGAGAUGGGCUUGCGUCCUAUCAGGUAGUUGGUAAGGUAAUAGCUUACCAAGCCUAAGACGGGUAGCUGGAGUGAGAGCUUGACCAGCCAGAGGGGGACUGAGACACGGCCCCCACUCCUACGGGAGGCAGCAGCAGGGAAUCUUGCACAAUGGGCGAAAGCCUGAUGCAGCGACGCCGCGUGAGGGAUGAAGGUUCUAGGAUCGUAAACCUCUUUUCUUAGGGAAUAGUUUGGAAGGUACCUAAGGAAUAAGUCACGGCUAACUACGUGCCAGCAGCCGCGGUAAUACGUAGGUGGCAAAUGUUGUCCGGAAUCAUUGGGCGUAAAGGGUCCGUAGGUGGCUUGAAAAGUCUUAUGUGAAAUCUCUUGGCUCAACCAAGAAACGCCAUAAGAAACUUUCAUGCUAGAGAUCAUCAGAGGGAGGUAGAAUUCCAGGUGUAGUGGUGAAAUGCGUAGAUAUCUGGAGGAAUACCAAUGGCGAAAGCAGCCUCCUGGGGUGAAUCUGACAUUGAGGG
rnacentral:rRNA from 1 species